UGGAGAAGGGGAGCACGUGCACAAAAUUCAUUGGCACCAGAGAAGCCAUAGAUUUUGCACGUGCCCUGCUUCUCCAAC
rfam:Cephalotus follicularis DNA, scaffold: scaffold511, isolate: St1.